rnacentral:rRNA from 1 species
AAGGGCACCACAAGAACGCGUGGAGCAUGUGGCUUAAUUCGACUCAACGCGGGAAAUCUUACCGGGUCCGGACGUGCUGAGGAUUGACAGGUUUUGCGUCAUUUACACACUUUUCUGUGUGUAUUUGGCACUUAAAGAUGCUAGUCCUUUCAUGAUUGUGCGAUAGGUGGUGCAUGGCCGUUCUUAGUUCGUGGAGUGAUCUGUCUGCUUAAUUGCGUUUCGCAAAAGGUCAUCACUAACGCUUUCUGAGCACCUGACGUUCAGCGUUCGCCUUGUUUGCUGUUCUUUUUGUGACCAUUUAACCGUUGUUGUGUGUCUCUGUGUUCGGCGGGUGGACGCUCACAUUCUUAGUGUCUCCGGAUGCUUUGCGAUGUGCUUUGCUGUCUCCCCCGACACUUGAUGCGCGGCGCGGGACGGUUACUUAGAGCAGUUGAGGUUUGAAUGCCGUUGGGUUACUUUUCAAGUCUCAGUAUAGCGUGUUGACCUUGAAAGCAACGAACGUGACCGCAGCCUCUUGUUGCCCUGCUUGUUUUUGUGUAUUUUAAUACGCAAAACACACACGGGUCAAACUAGAGGGACCGCUCGAUAUAUGUUAAAACAGAGGAAGGUUGCGGCAAUAACAGGUCUGUGAUGCCCUUAGAUGUUCCGGGCUGCACGCGUGCUACAAUGAUUAUUGCAGUAAGCAUCUUACUUUACACUAUGUUUCCCCUUUUAAGUUCAUUCUUAUUAAGGUGCGAAGCUCCCUUUGUGUUGUGUCCUUUUUGGCGCAACAUCAUUGGGAAUACACCUACUUCGAAAGUCAGUAGGUAAUCAUUUCUAAGUAAUGAUUUCCCUUUUUACAAGCACAAUAUCAUGUUUCAAUGCAAGUUGGCUAUGCUUAGCACCUAUGCUUCUUCUGAAACUAGAUUGCUCAUAUGCUUACUCUUUGGUAACGUGUGCUCCCCCUUUUCUCUUCUCCUUCUUUCCCAUUUUGGGUUAGGGGAGUUGAGAAAAUCAAUUCGUGGUGGGGACAGACCAUUGCUAAUUGUUGGUCUCGGUCUUAACUAGGAAUGCCUUGUACGGGUCUUUGGUUCAACAAACCACCCGGAAUACGUCCCUGCCCUUUGUACACACCGCCCGUCGCUCUUACCGAUGGACUUCGCUGUGAGUUUGAGGGACUGGCUCAAUUACAAACUUUUGUUUGUUUGAGCUAUGGAAACUUACACGAACAGUGAGGUCUAAAGGAAAGAAAAGUCGUAACAAGGCAUCGGUAGGUGAACCU